AUACGGAGGGCGCAAGCGUUGCUCGGAAUCACUGGGCGUAAAGGGGGCGCAGGCGGUCCUGUAAGUCGGGUGUGAAAGCCCUCGGCUCAACCGAGGAAUUGCACUCGAUACUGCAGGACUUGAGUUCGGUAGGGGGAAGCGGAAUUCCUGGUGUAGCGGUGAAAUGCGUUGAUAUCAGGAGGAACACCGGUGGCGAAGGCGGCUUCCUGGACCGUAACUGACGCUGAGGCCCGAAAGCGUCGGGGAGCAAACCGGAUUAGAUACCCUAGUAGUCC
rnacentral:rRNA from 1 species